AAGAAGACAUAAAAGGACGCAGCACUCACCCCUGCUGCUGCUGUCCUCUUGCUCUUCCUAUGGUUUAUGCUGCGUGCAGGACAUCUCUUCUCUAUACCUUCUCUUUUUCCUUCAAAGCUCCCUUUUCUCCCUGAGCACUUUUGUACUUUCCUUUUUUUAAACAACAGAAAAACAUUUCUGUCCUAAAAUAAUUGGUAACCUUUCACAUCCGUCAAAUUUCUUGACCAAUUCAUAGCAGGGGACAAAUAGCCUGGAAGACACUGCUGGUCUCUAGCCCAUUCGAUAGCAAGCAGACACCCUCUGACUGAGGACUGUGAGCCCUGCACGCACCAAGAUAGUCCCUCGGCAUCACCAAGGCUGUAGGGCUCGGUCUAUGAGAUGGGCUUAAAAGCAGUGUGCAGCCUGGGGUGAAGACCACUUGGGAGGGAGAAGGGGGGGGGAGGAAGAAAAUGGGGGGGGUGGGUAAAUGGGAGGGAAGAAGGGGAGCGCUCACGCUGAGUCCAUGCUUGUCCCGCACUCUGCUCUUCACAGUGGCCCCCUUUGGCCCCCCAGCACCCAUGAAGUUGUCCCCCCAAAGUGUAAUUCAACAGGAGCCCCCUUGGCAAAACUCAGCAGUCCUGUGGCUAAACACUGUAUCCCAUUCGCUCUGUGCUCUCAGCACGCACCCUGCCUUCACCCCUUCCUGGAGUCCUUCCCUCCCUUGGCCUGGGCUUGGGGGCAGGGAGGGGUCAGGAUUAUGUGCCUGGUCUUUCCCAGAAACCAUUUGAUAAUUUUUUUACAGCUGAGAUAUUUUUGAGCAGGUUUUGAUUUUUAUUAGAUCUUUUUGAUAACAAAAAAUAGGUGUUUCUUAUAACAAAUGAAACAAUGUAACUAUAAAUGAAAAACAAUAGUUCUUCCCCCAAUCCUGCCUCACAUGAUUAACAAUGGCCUGGUUAUUCCUUCAGUCAUUCAAAUAUAUAUGUAAUAUCACUACAUAUAUAUAUGUAGUGUGAUCACAAUAUAUGGCAUGUGUUUUGGAUACACAAGCUUAAAUAUCACAUAGUUACUCUUAUAUGAGAAACCCAAAACAUACAGAACAAUAUGAUAGGAGGGAGAUAGAUGUUCUGCAAAUGAGAAGGGGGACCAAGCAAUGUGAGGAGGGAAGAUUAAAAAAAAAAUUAAGAUGUGUUGUGUACGUGUCCCAACUCUACGUGGGGAAUGUGACCAUUAGGUACUGCAAACAUGUAUUAGUAAAAGGUUAAAAAACACUUACAGAAAAAUACCACCCCCCAGCUUUGAACACUUAUCAUUCUUGCCACUUUCUGAAGUGGUUCUGGAAGUCCUCUUUCCCGAGUGACUUUAUCAGGUGUGAUUAAAAAAAAAUAGUGUGGGGCCGGGGAUUUAGCUCAGUGGUUCCAGCUCCUGCUUUGCAAGUACAAGGUCAUGAGUUUGAUCCCCAGUGCCCCCCCAAAAAACUCAAUGAAUGCUGGUGCUGAAUGCUAUCCAACAGAAAGAUAGGCUCACAAAAAAUACAUUAUGCUGUGUCCUCACCCAUCUUCUUCACUAGAUCUGGCACUGUGCAGCUUCUGGCUCUUUUCUAAAGUCAAAAUGACCAUGAAAGGAAAACGUUUUGAAAAAGAUUCAGGAUGUGGAAGCAGCCACAACAGCCAACUAAAGACACCCAGGAAAGAGGACUUCAGACCUGCUUCAGAACAGUAGGACAAGUGUGUUUGAAGCAAAGUGACAUAUUGUGAGGGGGAUUAAUAGCAAUAUGUCUUUGCUGUAAUGCUUUUUAAAAUUUGCAUAUUAGCCACAUUUUUUGAUCACACUGCAUGUACUUUUUUGGUACCAGGGAUUGAACUUGGGACCUUUUGAGGCAGGCAACGGCACCACUGAGCUAAGUCCCCAGCCCCACACUGCACAUCUUAAAGCUAACGUUUUCUUUUAAUGUCAUGGAAUUUAGUAUAGAUGCCAAAAUCUCCAGAGUGGCUACCAAAAUGCCAAGCAUAACUGUCACGUUCCCCACGACCAAUCCCAUCUGCAGAUGGAGGGACCAGGCGGUGGUGGAGCUGGGGCCCCAAAGCACACUGGCUGGUCACACUUGUGCCUGCUGCCCUGCCCUCCUCCUAGGGGCAGACUCUGGGGCUGGCCUGAAGAAGGGCUGGAGAAAAUGAUUCUUAUUCUCUGGCAGGUAUAUUUUCCCCAAGCACCUGGAUUUUAAAGGGGCAGAUGCUGCCUUUUUGAAGCAUGAGACAAAGAUCAAGUAGAUGAAUCUCAGGGGUGGUUUCCUGCUUUCCAUUUCCUUUGAAGUUACUGGGAAUAAUGGGGUUAGGAUCUGUGGGUUAGGGUAUGGGGAAGCCCCCCAGGUUGAGGCACUGAGGCCUGGGGUGGAGCCACAGAGAGGGGCCUGGCCCAGCUUUGGGGCCUCUUCACAUUGGACAUUUCCCCCUCAGGCUCCUGCCAAAGCCCUGAUUUUUUGUUUUACUUUCCCCCCUCCUUGCUCUUUAUUUCUGAAAUUUCUAUUUGAAGCUAAGAGAUUUCUUCCAUCUAAACUCAAGACAGCUACAGUAAGCCAGGAUUAACUCUCCCUUCAACCUUUGAGAAAUGGUCUCAGGAUAGGGGCAAGGAUGUUUAGUUUGCCAGGGAGUAAUAAGCAUCUGAGGUUACUCAUCAGUCCCUUAGGUGAAAACCCAGGAGGCUGCCAGAACCAGCCAGCACCUCCUGUCCUGGCCCUCAGGUUGCUCAUGGCUCAAAUGAUAGUGUUUUCUUUGCCCCUCAAGGUCUGACAGGCAUUGCUUGUCUUCUAUUUCCUAGUUGCAAGGUAUUUUUUUCAAUUUGGAACAUGUGUUCUAAUUUGAAAACGAAUGAGUUUUCUUCAGUAAAACUUGCCACCUUUCAAAGAGGUUUGCUCUAACCCAAGCUUAGACACUAGUGGCCAGAGCCAGAGGUUUGGGUGGAGAUGGGCCUGCUGGCUGUGUGCCCCCACUUUGGACUCCACCAUCUUUGGGCCCACCAUGGCCUGGUUAUGACACACACAUGGCCUUGCCCACCACGGAUCUGGAGCCACUUCUGCCAAAGACUGGAGGAAUAAGAAAAGCCAGUCCAGCCUGUUGGAUCAGUAACACAGAUAAGCAAGAGUAAGAAAGCUGUCCGUUCCUGAGUAAAAACACCAAAGCUCCACAACCCCCUGUACCUUCACAACACUGCAGAGUAAGCCAUGGCCCCCAAUUGUACCCCGAGGAUGCUGCUGCCCUAGGUAGCAACACUGCCAGCAGCCUCUACCCAAGGUAGAAAUGACUGUCAUCUACUCGUUUCAGGAGAGCAACGGGGUCCCCCAAGAAAUUAAGGUCUUUUUCAAAAUAGCAUUCUGGGGUCCCUUUUUGAACCUCUGUAGCUGUCAAUUCUACAUGGCUCUGCGGGGCUGGGAUGAAGCCCGGUGGGAUUAAGGAGACUUGGAGAUGUUUUAGAAUAAGCAGCUUCCGACUAUUAGUAACUUCACACCUACGGCUAAGGCUCAACCCUCCCUGCCCCCUUUCUUAGCCCAAAAGGACAUGAUCAUUCUGUUGUGGGUGUGAAGCAGCAGGUGCACCCAUCUGUGCUUCUACACAGAAUAGGACCACACACCCUCUCCAUCCCCACCAAGCCCCCGAAGGAAGUGUAUGACUCAUGGAUGCCUAUAGAAGUGUUAUCAGCCUGCGCACACAUGUGUGUGCCUGUACAUGUGUAUGUGUGUCUACAAACACAUGUAGAUGCAUAUCCUCUCUUCCUACUGAUUCUGCUCCACAAAUUUUUGCCAAAUCUGAUAACCAUGCUUUUUCAGUUCUGUCCCAUCCAGGUCUUCAGGUACAUGACUUUCAAAAAUCAUAAGAACAAAAGUCAACUUAUUUAACCUCGACAGUUAUAGGCUAGAGAGCCACUGUUUCCAGCUGUCCUUGUUGGCCCAGACCUCUCCAGGGUAUCCCCCUCCCAGAGUUCCCCAGAACCACACCGUCAACCAGCACGCACGGCAGGACAGCCAGCUCCCAGGGUUCCUUCUGGGUUGUGUUAUAAAGUCUGGCAGAGACAUCAACACAUGUCAACAUGUUCCUUUUGGUGACAUGUUUGUCUUUUCCUUGUUAGCUUUGGUUCAAGGCUGUAAAUCCAUAAGAGGAAGCGGUUUCCAAGCCUAAGCAAAAAGUGAGCAGAUGCACUUCAUGGACUUUGGGGUUUCUCUGUGCAGAUCUUCCCCUCCAUCACUUACCUCCCCAUUAUUUUUCUUAGAAAUCCAAAUAAAAAGGAUAUUUGGUGAUCAAAGUGAAUUCAACAGGCAGGGCAUGAAUGGAUACAAACCACCAAGCUCCCAGUGAGCUAUGUCUAUGGUCAGAUGUUGAUGAGAUCCAUCCUGGUCCCCAUAUUUGUUGCCUCUGAAGGGAUUGGAUCCUUCUCUCUGCUUUUUCAUCUGAGCCUCUGCAGUUCUCUUGUUCUUUGCUCUGUUCUGUCUCUGCUCUGGUUUGAACCCUGCUAUGUCAGCUCUCUUGUCUCCUUUUUAUUAUUCAAACCGUCUUUGAGCUGUUGGCAUUAGUUCUGCAGGGUGCCUGGGAGGGAAUUCUGAAAGCUCCAAAAUGGUCCCCCUCUACCUCCAGUGGAAGAGGAGGACCCAGGAAACCCAGCAAAACAAGUCCGGUUUUAUUGGUUCUUCCUCUGAGUAAAAAACUGCUCAAGUUUUGAACAAAUUCGUAUACAGCAUAAACACUUAUCCAGAGUUAAAUCUAAAUCCAUCCAGGCAGUUUCAUGUUGACAAAAGGUAAGGAUUUACCAUGUUAGGGUAUCCAAAAGAAUUUGCCAUAGACUCUGAAGAAAUUUAAAGCAGAAGACUGCACAUGGCAGGGAAGAGCAUGUGACACAGGUGACCAGGUUCUGACCCACAACUGAUUCUGGGCACCUGUGAACAAGUUACUACAUCACUGUGGCUUCGUAAAGUGGCAGCCCACCCCAUACCUUCCCCUGACUAUUCGAGUCAUAUGACAAAUAGUUCAUACCAUGAACGGAGCUGUGGAUGGUGUAGAGAUGCCCUGGUUCCAAAUGACCAUGAGUCAGAAGAGCCUCAAAGUCUGAAGCACAGGCUGCAGAGCAGACCGAUCAGGCAUCCAUUCCAGCCCCUGACUGUGUGGUGCCCUGGACCUGCACUCCCUCAUUUGGAAGAUGGAAAACACUACCUACCUCAGGACUUGCUGGUCUUAAGAGAAUCCAAAAACAGUGCAGAAGAGGCCUUACCCACCCACCUUUGGCCCUGAUGGUGAGAGACAUGCUCCAAAGAACAGGAAGGAAACCAUCACUUUCACAACUGACUUUGUGUAGCUCCCAGCAAGGACAUCAGAAGAGGUGACCCACAUUGCAAGAAUGAAAUGGAGGAGCCAGCCUGCCAGGGGACGCCACUCACCUGUCACCAGAUCCUAUGCUCUUGUGACACCUGUUUUCCCUAGAAAUAAUUCCUACCAUUGGUGAAGCUCCUCAAGUUCCCAUGGCCUAGGGCAGGACCUGUACCAUGUGCCAAAUUCUGUGCUGCUGCUUCUGCGAAGGACACAAGAACAGCACAUGCUUGGGGAUUGCCCUUCCUGGAGGAGAUGGCACAGGAGCAGCUGGAUAGGACAGUGAAGGGCCUGCAGUGUGGCUGGAGCUCUGUGUGUGUUCCCCAGGGUGGAUGGGGAACCCCAGGAACUGGAAACAGGCCAGGAGAAGAGAUGACACUCAGAGAUAUGACUUAAGUAUAAGGCUGUGACAAAAUGAGAAACUGGAGCCAGGGAUUUAUCUCAGUGGUUCCACUGCCUGCCUCGCAAGCACAAGGUCCCGAGUUAGAUCCCUGGUACCAAAAAACCAAAAACAAACCAAAAAAAUGAACCGAAUAGAACCUCUUAGAAGGAGUAAAAAUAGCCGAAAGAGUUCAACGUAUCUGGCCAUUAGAGGGAAUACAAAUUAAAAUAAUAUUGAUAUUCCAUCUUGCCCCAGAAAGAAUGGCCAUCAUCAAUAAAUCAAUAACAAAUGCUGAUGGGGGGUGGUGGUAAAGGAAUUCUUCCUACACUGUUGGUGAGAAUGUAAACUGGUACAACCACUAAUGGAAGUCAGCAUGGAGAUUCCUCAAAAAACUGAAACUUGAAAUUCCAUUCCACUCAGUUAUUUCCCUUCUAAGCAUCUUCCAGAGAGAGUCAUCAUACUACAGUGAUAUAUACACACCCAUGAUUACAGCACCAUAGCUCACAGUAGCUAAAUCUUGGAAGCAGCCUAUAUGUUCAUCAACAGAUGAAUGGUCCUGCAGGUAGCUGCGAGCAGCUGAAGGUUUUGGAAUGUGAUGUCAGGAUUUGAUUUCUAUCUUGGAGCAGUUUUGGAAAUGGACCACAAAUCAACGAAAUAACUGACCCACCAGCUUGGGAGUAGAGACAGGAGUUAUGGUGCCCUUUAAGCCCAGCCCCUCGGCGGCCACAGCCUGAGAACCUAUAGGGUUUGAAAAGUCCUUAUACAAGUUCACAGUUCCUCUGAGCUAAAAAAUAAAUUCAGAAUAAAACAGAUCACAGUUGUCUGACAUUUCUAAAAUUCUCCUUAUCUGGUGUCACGGGGUCUGCCCGGAUGGAGAAGGGGCAGAGAGGCUGUCUGCACCCUGGAGUGGAGGGAAUGGGAAGGCAGCAGCGGGUGGCAGAGGAUCUGGUCACAGUUGCCCAGUUUCCUCUUUGCUGUCUCUGAGAACCAUUGUUUUGUGGCCUGGGUCUAAAACAGAGACAGAUCUGCGAUUGUGCCAAGAAAAACUCCCUGGGCCAGCUCUGAGACUACUGCACACACGGGCGUGGACCAGUGCAAGUGUGUUUCAAAAGCAAACAGUGGUGUGCAGUCCCUCACACGCGGGCAAAGCGAUUGACCAUGACUUGUGGGGUCACGGGCUCCUCCAAUGCCCUUCAACCCGAACUCACAAUUGGUCGUCCUAGGAAACAGAAGCCAGGGGGGCUCCCAGUUACCCCUCACUCAAUUCUGCUGGGAAGACUGACAAUCGAGGAGAUUAGAGCCGCUCUGCAAGCCCAGAAGGGGUGGAGCCGAUGCUGGGGCCAGGGGUCGUGUUUUGGGGUCAGAGGCCUGGGAGCUUCUGCCAUCGACCCCUGCCUGAAGGUUCAAGUUUGAUCUGUCAUUUGCAAAUGCCUGUGUCAGAUAAUUCAUCUCCUGUGGCCACAGCACAGUGUGACUUGGCUGGAGGAACGAAGCAUCGUGGAGAAAAGCAGCACCCAGGACAUCACAGAAAACUUUAAAAGAUUCCAAGACGGGCCCUGCCCUAGGCAGAGACAGCAGAGGUCAAAAAUUCACUCCAGGCCUGCUGGGGACUAGGAGCCUGGGGAUAGAACGUGGCUCUUCCCCAAGAUAGGGUCCCCAUCUGGGGCACUCAGACACCCUGGACCAGCCCGGUCCACCCCAUAGCUUCCCACCCAACCCAGCAUCGACCUGGUCACCCUGCCUCAGAUGAGAGAAUGGAGUUGACAGCCAGGGGUGGGGCAUGUGGACUGUGGAUGCAGAACCGAGGAACAGAGAUGGAAACAUGUCAGCUGCCCAGGGGCUGUGGCGGAGGUAUCCACAGAAGGCCACCAGGGAGAGCAGCCAAGUGCCACUUGGCUCUUUGCAGAGAGCACUGCAGCGGCCACAUGUGCUGAAACUUGGGAGGGAGGCGAGCUCUGUGAGCACCACAGCAUCACCCACUGGACACCUGGUCCUGCCCUCCUGGAUCCCCUCUGCCUGGGCCCUCUCCUCACACACAGCCAUGUGAGCUCCCAGACAGAUAUAAUAUUGCACGUGCAAUGUUAUGUGACACACAGGCCAUCACAACCCGACCAACCAGCCCAUCGUGAGUGACACGCGUAGUCCGAUAAUGCCCUUGUGCACAGCACAAUCAAGACCCUUGAACCUGGCUCUGUGACGUGAGUGUUCCCACCCGGUAUGCUGAGGUCCCUUAUGGCAGGGUCCCUUGAGAGCUCUGCCCUCACCUCCAUUUCCAAACAGGUUCCUGGUGGGAGGGGUGUCCCAGUGGGCAUGUGCAGCACCAUGUGUAGUUCUUGAACCCAGGCCACCCACACAGCCCAAUGGGCAGAUCCCAGAAGACAUCCCCAUAUAGCAAGGAUGGGUUCACAUUGAGGAUGACGGCAGGACCAGUCUCGGGGUCUCCCCUAGGUGCCGUGGGCCCACCUGUCUCCCCUCUUGACUGCUCACCUCCCCACCACCACCUGCUGGUCACAGUAGCAGAGGCAGACCCCCUCAGUGUCACCACAGCCCACACUCAGGUAGGUGCCGGCAGCUGCAGCCCUGCUCUGUGAACUGCUGAUUCCUAACGCUCCUGCCCUUUGAUAUCCCUGGAGGUUUACAGAUAAAAAGUCCCCAGAGUGUUGGAAGGCUCAAAGAUCUGUGGCAUUCAAGCCAACCACUCAGACCACAAAUCUGAAUUUGUGGAUCACCCAAGCAUCACCACCACCCUGGAGUCUCUCCCUGUCCUCCCAUGACUGCCACACCUCCCAGUAGUCUGGAUGCUGCAUCUGUUUGCAUCCAAGACGACCCUCAGGGUGUCGCCUGUCUUUUUCACUCCUCAGCAAACAUUGAUAGAGCCUGGCACAUUAUGCCUGUUCAAUGUAUUCUGGGCCCCAAGACUCGGGUUAAUAAAACUGCCAGUCCCUGGCCUCCUAGGUCUUAUAUUCGGGUGGGGAGAAAGACAUAAACAAACAGCUAAUGGAGUGUGAUGAGCACUAAAGAUAAAAAUAAAACCAACAGGAUGGAGAAGUGACAGGGUGGGCAGCAGCAUGGGGACUUUGAAGGGCUGUCAGAAAAGCCCCUGUGUAGGGGAAGCAGCAGGGGGUGCCUCUCAGGGACAGUGGGCCAGGAGGCCUCGAACCUUUGCAGAAAACAGACUCCAUUCCCUCAGCAAUGAAAUUGAAUAAAUAGCAAUAAGAUCUCCAAUCCCUUAUGUUAUCACACUUGGCCAUAUCAUGUGCCUGUCCAUCCAUUUCUGCAUUCACUCCUCAUAACUCCCUGGCUAUCAUUCACACAAGAUGCUGAAGCAGAGGUCCAAAGAUGGGAAGGGGCCUUCCCAAGGCCGUACAGAGAAAAGCCAGUGGCAGGACUAGAUUAUUGGGACGUCUCUUUCCCAGCUAUGUGCUCCCUAGGAAAAUGGGUCAUGCUGGAUGACUCUACUAUAUUCUGCUGAACAUUCCUACCCCAGGUGCCUGAUUAGAACUGAGAAAAGCCCAUUGUGAGCAGCCCCGAUUCCCUCCAGUCUGACUCCAAUAUAGCUACAUGGUUACUGGUGGGGGGAUUAGUGGAGGACAUAGCUACCCCACUCUUAGAUCGUAGGAGCUGAAGCCAGCAAAAAAGAGCUAGAGAGCAGUGUGUGAACUCUGUGUACCAUAUUUGGCUGUCACUGCUGCAUACAUAUCUACUCACCCUUGCCCACCUUUGUGUGUUUGAGUGAAUUUCUUCUGGACUAUUGACAUAUAGAUCCCAAAUUUGCUCAUAUCGACAGACUCUAAGGUAGGAAAUCUCCAGUUUCAUAUGAGUUUAGUCAAAUCUAUUUUCCUUUAUGACCUCAGUUUCUCUUGUGAAAUGAACAUUUUGAAUUAGAUGGCCUGUGAGUUUCUGGCAUCCUACAAUUCUACAUGUGUAAACAUGUACGAUUGGUUGGGGACCCAAAGUAAGCCCUACUGUGAGGUGCUGUAUCAUACCUGGCUGGAGACUUCUGAGUCAUUGUCUCAACAAAGAUGUUUUUCCCAAAACAGAGCUUCCCGUGGUACAGAGUCCACUUGUUUCUUCAAAAUCCGCAGCAGUUGCUCAUUGCAAAACCAAGGCAGGGCAAAGCCUUCAGGAUGCGAAUGGGAACAAAAAGGAUGCAGGAAGGAACAAGAAAGCAAGAGGAGGAGAAAGAGAAAGGCAAAGUGAAGAAAAAAGUGGUGGGUGGAAGGGAUGCAGUGACAGGCUCAGGGACAGGAAAUGUCUUAGUAAAAGAUUUCCAGAGUUUUGUAAUCUGUUUCUUGUAUAAGGCAUACGGGCUUCAUUAAUAAGAAGGUGGGUGGGUGCCUUAGUUAUUUUUCUCAUUGCUGGGACAAAAAAUGCCCAACACUCACAAGUUAAGGGGAGAAAGGUUCAUUUAGCUAAGUUUGUAGAGGUUUCAGUCUAUCAGAUGGCUCCAAGGCAGGGUGGCACAGCAGACAGGCAUCGCAGAAGAGAAACAGUUCAUGGUGGGCAGAAGGUAGCAAAGCAAGCAGGUGGCGACCACAGCUCUUUCCUUCCAUUAUGUCUUAUCCAGGCUACUUAGGGUGAGUAGCACUCACACCAUGAAUCAAUCCUAGCAUCACAUUCUAGAUCCAGCCACCUGUGAAAAGCCCCAUGUAUGACUGCACGAGCCUUUAGGGGAACAUCUAGACACAAACCAUAACUCUGUGUGUGUGUUGCUGCAAGUAUUAAUCACAUUGGUGACAAGCAGAUGAAAUCGGCUGGGUGUGCCACAUGCAUAAUCUUUCCUCAAACUGGAACCCGUAUAUUCAUCCUUCAUGGGCUGAUAUCCAGGAACACUUGCCUCUCAUGCUUACCACUUAUUCUGGAUGAACCCCCAAAUUCUCUUACCCAACCCUAUCACUGAUUACUCCCUCUCUUAGAGGAGGAAGUGUUUUCUUCUCCCAGCCAAUUUCAGCCAAAGAAAAAUCUUAGUUCAGGUUCUUUGUGUUGCUCCACUUUCUUCUUUCUAGUUCUUUCCCCCAUCACACACAUAAGUCCUUCUAGUUUUCACCUUCACCCUUUCCUAGAGUAUCCUAGUCAUUCAGAAAUAACCUUUAAAAGGCGGGGUACUUGUGUCCCAAAGAGACCCAAAGACUUGCUGGAGGAAUAAUGUAAGGGAAAUCCUCUUCUAGAUCCUCAACAUCCACAAACACUAGUAUGCUCAGGCCUGUCAGACAAAGUGGUGUCUAUGUGCAAGUAAGGCAGGGGAACACUGAGGGAGCAUUACUGCCAGAGAUAAAGUAAUGGAAGACUGUGCUGUAAUCGGAAUCGGAGGCCGCUGUGCCCUCAGAGAUGUUGGGAGACAUGGUCACAGAGCUCAAAAGACUGGAAGCCAGCAGAAGAUAAACCUGUGGCCAGCCGACCUUAGGUCCCACCUCCCCAUGUCUGUGCCAUUGCAUAGUCCUCUCCCUUUGGGAAUGUGAGCACCUAUGGCCAGCCCUAACCAAAGGAACAUGGCAAAAGUCACUUCACAAGCCACUCUGGUACACAAGGCUUUGGAAGGACCAGUCCUUGGGUCUCCCUUUCUCUCACCUCCACUGUCAGGGAAAUUGCAGGGAGUUUCUAGGAGCCCAGGCUAGUCUCAGACUUGCAAUGCUUGGAAAGAGAUUCUGCUAGCAAUCCCUGUGAAUCCAGGGGCUCCUUCCCAUUGAUCCCCUGAGGAGAUCACAGGCCUGACUGGUGUUCUGCCCACAGCUAGCAGAGAACCAAGCUCUUCUGUGCCCCAACUUCUGACUCACAGAAACUGAGAGUGUAGAUGGGAGUCGUUUAAGUCACUAAGUUCAUGGCAUCUGUUACACAGCAGUACAAAACUUAAGCAGCUGGAGAUGGUGGGGAGGCUGGGCUGAGGAGCACAGGUUUUAUCACAUAGGCCACCAGGAACCAGGCUUGCUCUCAGCAAGGAAAAGCCACAGAAGUAAGUUUGGGGACAGUCACUCUGACCGCAGGGCAGGAGGAAACUCGAGAACAAGGUGGAAGCCUUUUAUCUUCCAGGAAGUCAGGGAUACACCAGUGAGCAUGAGGCCUCAGACCCAGCAAAGCCAUUCAACCUGUAUUUACUGACUAUUUACAGGGUGUGGUGUUCAGGGGAGAGGAAUACGGGGAGAAUGACCCAGCAUGUUCCCUGCCUUCUGAAAUGUUAGGGUAGGUUCAGAAAUGUGUAUUUAAGCAGGCAAAACUUGGUUGGUUGGCUCUGUUUCUUUUCCAUUUGACAGUGUAGGACACUGCCCAGAAGGGAUGGAUCGAAGCCUCUUCCUGGGGGCAGAGGGCUCCUGCGUGGGGUAACGCUGAGGUCCAUCCUGAAGGAUGAGCCAGGACUGCACAGGCAGGGGUAGGAUUUCAUGGCCCUCCAAUGAUUGCUUGGUGUGAGAGAAAACUCGAGUUGGUUAGAAAGCAAGCCUAGAGCUGGGAAUCUUGGAAAAAGAGCUCUUUUUCCCUUCUCAUCUGCCUGGAGUGCUGAGUACUUCCGUGAUCUGUUAAAGAAGGAUCCACAGGAGAGCUGAGGUGCACUGGUUAUGAAGGAGAGAAGGACUUAACUGAGUUACCAGGAUGACUUAGAUAAGGACGAAGCUGCAGAGAGAACCUUUGUUUGGGGAGCACCCAAGAGCCAAGAAUGUGGCAGAGAGUUAGGGAGGGGGGUGUAGAGAAGACCAUCUGCUGUUAGAGAGUAUCGAGAAAUUGGAAAGUUAUUUUGGGACCAAAUGUGUACCUCAAAAGACAUGAUCAAUUCCAUUCUAACCCUGAUGUUUUUGGCCCACCCAGGAUCCCAGUACUGCCUAUUUAUCUCCUUUGAAUCGCUUCCUGUUAUUUGGGAUAAAAUCCACGCCCCCCCCCCCAUCAUCAUACACAAGGCACCACCCCUUCCAGCCUCUGCUCCCCUCUUUGUCCCCCCUGUUCUCCCCCUCUCCCCCCGCCCUUCCCCCAAUUUACACCCCCAGGCUCCCAGUGUUCUGGCCUCUUUCUCAGUUCACUCAGUUUCUUCUGUCCCUGGGUCUUUUCCAUACAUUAGGCUUGGGGGGGACACAGGCAGGUGAGGGCACAUUCCAGGCAGAACUCCUUGACCUCACCCCAGUUUGAGCUCCCCUCCUUCGCCUGCUCCCAACCUGAAUCCUGUCCUUUCUCUUUCAAAUAAAGCAUUGAUCCUACUGUACCUCUUGGAUGUCCUGCUGAAUUCUUUGUUUGGGACAAGACCCCAGGCCAGCAAUUCACCCUCUGUUGAAGUAGAACCCAGGGUAGAUGGCAGGGUAACGAUGUAACACUGGUGCCUCUGCCACUGACACAAGUGGACACCGCUAACUGAGAGCAAGGAAAAUACUCCAGCCAGCCCUCAGGACAAGGCGGGCAUCGUCACAGCGGGGCUGAACUGCACCCACUUCCAGCAACUCAUGACUCUCAAAAACGCAGCAUUGGAAGCAGGAAGAACUGGCUUGGCGUCCCUCUCUCCAGAGCCACUUUUUCUGGACAAGGCUUCCUGGAGCGUUCUUCAGGAAAUUAGCAAAUGCCUCUGCUUGGAACGUCAGGUUGCAGGAACGCAUGGCCAGGCCAGAAAGCGCCUCCAGAACCGCAGAGAGCAGCCUUCUCCUUUGCAGGAGCUUCUGGGAGCCCAGGCCUUGACCACAAAAGGGGCAGCAAGGAGCCAGCCACCAGCCCUGUGCCAGUGACCUUCGGGGCCCAACCCAGUGGGCUGCUCAGAAGACUGGCAGCAAUCAGUUAAAUUCUCGAAGCCUCGGUUUCUUCCUGUGCGGUGGAGACAAUAAGAGAACCAGCCUGGAGGGACUGUGCCCGGGGUUGGCCCAGGCAGGGCACAGGGCACGUACCUCACCCAUUCUUAAACCCUCACAGGCAGACUGGGCACCUCCUAUGUGCCGUCUCCCUUAGAGACUUGGAGCUAUAGCCAAAGAAAAGGGGGGAAAGGAAAGCCUACUUGGGGGGCAGUGUUUGAGGAAGAGGCACCAUUUUAACUUUUUAAAAAUUAUUAGUCCCUGUUUGCAAUACAUAAUGGCUACAUUCAUCAUGAAGAGUGGCCACAUGUAUGUAGCACAGUUUAAUUCUUUAUCACCUUCCUCCCCCCUCACAUCUCUCCCUCCACCAUUUAAUAAACUGGUAAGGAUAGGCCCCGUUGAGAAAGUGGCUCUAAAAUUAGCCAGGUAUGGUGGCGUAGGGCUAUGAUCCAAGCACUGGGGAGGCUGAGGCAGGAAGAUUGCCACCAGUUUUGAAGUCCACUUGGGCUACAUGGUGAGUUCAAGACCAGCCUGAACUUCAUAGUGAGACCCUGUCUAAAAAAUCCCAAUAAAUAUAAAAGUAAUUCAAUAAGGCAAAUGUUCUUCCUGACCUUGUCUUCACUCAUGAAGGACAUCUAUGUGCAGCUGGUCUCCCACCCUAGUUCCCCCCCUUGAAGUUGGAACCCAGUGACCCUAUCUGGGUGGAUGUGAGCAGGGACAGUGUAAGCAAUCUCAGAGACCCUGCUCUCGCCCCUCUGAGGCUCACUGGGCCCAGAAGUUACCUCCGUUGAUUCUGGGGCUGGAAUUGGUCACCCUUUGCAGCAGACCUUGCACUCUGACUCUGGGAAAGUAGAGGGGUUAGGACCAGCAGAGCCCAGGGCCCGCCUCAGGCCACUGUGAUGCCCCAACAGGGGUGAGGGAUUUGGGGAGACUGCUCUGCCUGCCUACAAGUACAGCCUCGCCAUGCCCUCCCACCCCGUCCAUGAGCGGAUACUUCUCCCCUCCCUCCGAGUGCCAAUCCUUCCAAAUCCUCUAGCUGGUCUCGGUUUGACUUCAGCACCAGCGGUGAGAGGGGAGAUUUAUGUCCACCACUUUCUGUGGAGAGGGUUUCACAGAAGACGUAUUGUUCCUAGCAAGAUUUUCACCAGGGCUGUGGAAGAGGCCAGAAAUCCCCUCCCUGGUAGUAGUGUCACAUUUCUUUGAAGUCGUUGACUCUGAAAAAGAAAGAAAAACGUAUAACCAAUUUCAGCUGAGAUGUUUGCGGGGGUCUAUAUUUCAUGUAUAAGUACAUGUGGGCAUAUGAUGUGAUACAAGAGUACACAUGUUGAAUCACAUGAUCGAAGGGUCAGAAGGGCUGGAUGAUAGGAUUUUCCUCCGCUGCCCUGUAAGAGCGACAUGGGUCCAUCUCCCAAACUGAGGCAGAGGGGACUGACAACGCCAGACCUUCAUCCCUGGCCUAAAGUGUUACAAUUAAUUUUAAAACAUUCUAUUUAGUUUAAGAUGAAUGUAAAGGCAAAGAAGUUAAUAAAACCUGCUUCCUUUCACCAGCUCAUUAGAAAUCCCUGGAACACAGUGUUUAUAAUUCAUACCUGUAGAGUUUUCCUCACCAAGUCAUCCAGUGUUUACUAUGCUAGGUUCAUUUUUGCAGCAACAAAAAGAUUCCACUUAUAAUAGUGAAAAUUUGUGGCAAGGGGCUCACGUAAUUUUCUCUUGAUUGUAUCUAAAAUAUAAAUUAGUCACCCUCUAGGCAUAUUCUGAUUUUAAUUAUCCUUCUUGUAAGAAUGUGAUGGAGGUGGGAGAAUCAUGUUCUAGGAAACAAGAAACAUGGUCACCUCCAGCUCUGACACCAGGUGAUUGAAUACUUGUGGGUUGUUUAUGGUUCUGGCCUCGGCCUGCUCUUCUGUGAAAUGGGAGGAUUGUGAGAGGUGACUUUGGAGGUCUCUUCCUUUAGAAAGAGCGUGUCCAUGGGCCAGGGAUUUUAGCUCAGUGGUGCCACGGCCUGCCUUGCCAAGUGCAAGGUCCUGAGUUCAAUCCCUGGUACCAAAAAAAAAAAGCAUGUUAGAGUUAUGGAGGGAGCCUGGAUUUGGGAAAUCAGAGAUGAGAGUUCAAGUCCCAGCUCCACCUCUCCCUCAGCAGUCGACCUUGGCCUUGUCUGAAUUUCAGGACAGACAUUGGUGACAUUUACUGGGAAAAUGGGGGUAGAGAUGACAAAUGGGGAGGGACACGCCUCUGCGUGAAGGAAACCAGCAAAUGGUUUUUUCCUUCCACAUGGCCCCUUCCUCCCUCCAGCCCCUCCUCUUGGCCAAGAGUCAACAGAGGCCUGGAGCAAGGUCCAGAGUGAGUAUGGGGCAUGUCCACAUCUGUCCACAGGAAGUGUCUACCUGCUGAACACAAGGCUUUUCCAUCAUGUGGCC
ensembl:lncRNA